AGUGAACGCUGGCGGUAGGCCUAACACAUGCAAGUCGAACGGCAGCACAGUAAGAGCUUGCUCUUACGGGUGGCGAGUGGCGGACGGGUGAGGAAUACAUCGGAAUCUACUUUUUCGUGGGGGAUAACGUAGGGAAACUUACGCUAAUACCGCAUACGACCUACGGGUGAAAGCAGGGGAUCAUCGGACCUUGCGCGAUUGAAUGAGCCGAUGUCGGAUUAGCUAGUUGGCGGGGUAAAGGCCCACCAAGGCGACGAUCCGUAGCUGGUCUGAGAGGAUGAUCAGCCACGCUGGAACUGAGACACGGUCCAGACUCCUACGGGAGGCAGCAGUGGGGAAUAUUGGACAAUGGGCGCAAGCCUGAUCCAGCCAUACCGCGUGGGUGAAGAAGGCCUUCGGGUUGUAAAGCCCUUUUGUUGGGAAAGAAAAGCAGCAGGUUAAUACCCCGCUGUUCUGACGGUACCCAAAGAAUAAGCACCGGCUAACUUCGUG
rnacentral:rRNA from 1 species